rnacentral:misc_RNA from 1 species
UCCGGUUUGUCACCGGCAGUCUCCCUAGAGUUCCCGACCGAAUCGCUGGCAACUAGGGACAAGGGUUGCGCUCGUUACGGGACUUAACCCAACAUCUCACGACACGAGCUGACGACAGCCAUGCAGCACCUGUCACUCGGUUCCCGAAGGCACCAAGUCAUCUCUGACAAGUUCCGAGGAUGUCAAGGGCAGGUAAGGUGGGGAGACGUUAGGAUAG